AACCUCUUUUGUCUAUGAAAACACGAGUUUAAUGUCGGUGCGAACAUAGUAUAACAGAUAAGUAUUUUGAAGAAAGAUUCUUCUAUGAAACUUGUGUACUAACAAUUUUAAUGCUGCGGAAACAAUUUAAAUAACAUAACUAUACAACUUUUAAAAUGGGAACAGAAAAUAUAUAAUAUAAACUUUACAAGUGUUUAUUCUACUAAUUUGCUUCUAUUUUGCGGACUUUUAUGAAACUUGUUUUAUUAGCUUUAGUGCUCUUGGAUUAAAAUAUUUAUAUAAUAAUUUAUUCAAAAUACCUUAGAUAAAAGCGUUAAUGGUGUUAUAUAUAGGACGGAUUUCUAGAUUGAAAGACGAAUAAGUGAUAUUUUUAUUUCAUAAAAAUUACCAUAUUUAUUGAAAAUGUACUGCCAUAUGUAAUUUUUUGCCGAAAGGAACUUUAACCUUGAUGGUCCCGAUGUUUUUAAAAGAUACCAGUAUGAUAUUCGAAAAGAACCGCUUUCAUUUUCGAAACGAAAUUUCGGCGUAGAAAGGAUUGUAUUGGAAGUAACUUCGUUCACGAAAAGAACUGCAGUUUUGUUCUAUCCGAAGGAAUGGCCAUGAUUACAUAGGGAUUCUCCGCAGAAGUUUGUUCCUUUCUUCACUUGGAUGGCCACGAUCUCAAUAAACUUACUCGAGUAGCCGGCAUGCUCCUCAGAAGUAAAUUAUUUUGAAAACAUAUGGGAGAUCGUUGUGUGCUGUAUUUACACUUAAAAUCGCUAAUUUUAUAAUUUUCAUGAACUUAAUGUCGCCACAGUCAAGAAGUAGGAACAGUUGGACUUUAAUUUACUAAAACACCUCGUAACUUAACUGAACGCUUUGCCCUUAAGCAUUUUAAUUAAAUCAUUAAUUACCAAUUUUAAUUCAAACGCACUUAAGCUAAAAAAAAAUCACAAAAGUCCGCAAAACAGAAGCAAAGUAUGAGUGGUUUUAUAAUUUUGCAACACGUAUUUCAUACAUUUUCUAUCCAAAUUUUUUAGUUUUUAUAGUGUUGUUAUUAAAAUUUGUUCCAAAGCACUUGAGUUGUCAAUAUACAGGCUUCAUGGAAGAAAUUUUCUUCAUAAUACUUACUUGUUGGACUUAACAACUAUAAUUUUAUUGGUCUUUUAAUUUUGCAAUAGAGUGUAUAUAUUCAGAAUAUGUUCGGUAAAAUAUAUUAAAUCUCUAUACAUUGUUUUUAAUAAACCGCAAGCAGUUAAUUCAGCUUGCAGCAAGAAGUUUAAAAAAAAAAAGAAAAAUUAAUUAUUUGGAAAUAAGCGUACAGAAUCUGACUGCGUUUUAGAUCAACAAAGAAUAGUGAUAUCAUGAUUUGAACCACUGUGCUGUUAUGAAGUGAACCACGUUUGCUACAGGUUACAUCAAUAAAUCUUUUAUUCGGUUCCAAUACUGCUUGAAGCCCUAGGUUAUAGGCGGUCUUUAUUUAAAAAAAUUUUUAUUACCUCUACGACCUUUUUUUCUCCUGGGCUAAUUUUUCCAUUUGCACAUAAUUCAAUAUACAUUUAAUAAUACAUUCAUUAUUGUUUUUGACAUUUAAAUUGUGGAACGCUGGCAAUAAUUUUGGUCUUUGCUGAUUACUCCUGUUCCUCAGAGCUUCAUGAAGAUUCCGGCGUGGAGAGUUACUGUGUAAAGCGUUACACGAGUAAAAAUGAUCGCUAACGCGAAAAUCCAUCUCUGUAAGGCGAUAAGCGCAUUGGAAUUCGCGUUUUACGGAUGCGUUUUCCCCCUUCGCGAUGGCAGCACUCCGUACUGCGCAAGCGAUUGUCAAACGUAACGCACAAACUAUAAAAGUAGCGGAAAUAUUUCCUGAUCCAAAGAACUAGGUCAGUUGCAAAUCACAUUGGAACAGCAUAGUUUAAAAAUAUAAAAACUUCCUCAGCUCUGGACCGGUGAAGUGACUUGAGAAGAGGCCGCUGCGAAAGAGGUUUAAGAUUGGGAGUACUUUGAGACAAUGCACGCGUAUUCAUCCCCUUAGGAUAAUUACCACCCUCCCUAUUUGCUUGACAGCAGUGAGGGUGGUUUGAAGGGUAACUACCUUUUGCAUAUUGAGGGCUGUUGAGGCAAACACGAGUGUCAUGCUCCUAUCCCGAAAAGCCUGUAAAAACGUCCGUAAAAUUUGCAUCACUAUCAGAAAAUGCUUGCAGUUGAAUUGAAUCAAACUUCUUAUGGUUAGUAUAUUCAAUAUGUUUUUUAACAGGACAUUUAAUUCUUAUGUGAGAACAAUCGAUGGCUUUAAUGAAUUUGAGAAAAGCUUUACUUUUGGCUUUUCUGCCAAACUCUAAACCUAUGUAGCCUAUUAUAAUCGUUAACAGAAGCAUGUUUUAUUAAUUGAUGUGGUUUCGCAAUUCAUCUAACAUAUUAUGUAUAUAUUCCUUACUUUUAACCGGCUGAAACACAUAAAUGUUGCAGCAAUACGAUAACUGCAACCACAAUCCAACCAAAAAAAAAAAAAAACCACAAUGCAACCAAAAUAAAAAAAACCACAAUCCAACUAAAAUAAAAAAAAUACCACCAUCCAACCAAAAUAAAAAAAGAACAAUGACCAACCAUGUGAUUUUUCGGAAUGAUUAGCACAAUUUUUCUAAACGUGCUGGCAGAGAUCCUUAAAUGCAUUCUAAUUUUUUUUCUAUUACCGGACAUAUUAUCAUUGAUAUCCUCAGAUGUAAUUUUUGGAUGAAGAUAAACAAUAUCCUGUAAUGAUUUGUACAAAAUUAAUAUAAAGAAAAACGUAGUUGUAAUACAAGUAUUGUUUUGAAUCCUAUUAAUUUUGAAAGUAUAUUUUUUAAUUUAAAUAACAAGACAAAA